rnacentral:rRNA from 1 species
UGAGGAAUAUUGGUCAAUGGAGGAAACUCUGAACCAGCCAAGUCGCGUGAAGGAUGACGGUCCUAUGGAUUGUAAACUUCUUUAGUAGGCGAGUAAGGAUAGGUACGUGUACCUAUUAGAAAGUAGCCUAAGAAUAAGUAUCGGCUAACUCCGUGCCAGCAGCCGCGGUAAUACGGAGGAUACGAGCGUUAUCCGGAUUUAUUGGGUUUAAAGGGUGCGUAGGUGGCUGAUUAAGUCAGUGGUGAAAAGCUAUGGCUCAACCAUAGUCUUGCCGUUGAUACUGGUUAGCUUGAGUGUAGAUGAUGUAGGCGGAACGUGUAGUGUAGCGAUGAAAUGCAUAGAUAUUACGCAGAACUCCGAUUGCGAAGGCAGCUUACAAAACUACUACUGACACUGAGGCACGAAAGCGUGGGUAUCAAACAGG